rnacentral:rRNA from 1 species
GACGAACGCUGGCGGCGUGCUUAACACAUGCAAGUCGAACGGAAAGGCCCUGCUUUUGUGGGGUGCUCGAGUGGCGAACGGGUGAGUAACACGUGAGUAACCUGCCCUUGACUUUGGGAUAACUUCAGGAAACUGGGGCUAAUACCGGAUAGGAGCUCCUGCUGCAUGGUGGGGGUUGGAAAGUUUCGGCGGUUGGGGAUGGACUCGCGGCUUAUCAGCUUGUUGGUGGGGUAGUGGCUUACCAAGGCUUUGACGGGUAGCCGGCCUGAGAGGGUGACCGGCCACAAUGGGACUGGGAUACGGCCCAGACUCCUACGGGAGGCGGCAGUGGGGAAUAUUGCACAAUGGGCGGAAGCCUGAUGCAGCAACGCCGCGUGCGGGAUGACGGCCUUCGGGUUGUAAACCGCUUUCGCCUGUGACGAAGCGUGAGUGACGGUAAUGGGUAAAGAAGCACCGGCUAACUACGUG